UACAGAGGAGCCAAGCGUUGUCCGGAUUGACUGGGCGUAAAGCGCACGCAGGCGGCACCGCGCGUGGGGUGUGAAAUCUGGCCGCUUAACGGCCAGGCGCCAUCCCAUACGGCGGAGCUGGAGUGAUGCAGAGGUCGGUGGAAUUGCCGGUGUAGUGGUGAAAUGCGUAGAGAUCCGGAGGAACACCAGUGGCGAAGGCGACACGCUGGGCCGUACCUGACACUGAUGCGCGACAGCAUGGGGAGCAAACAGG
rnacentral:rRNA from 1 species